rnacentral:piRNA from 1 species
UGGCGAUCAUAGUGUGGCUUUGGA